CCCUAUGGGGUGCCAGGAGUGGGAUUUCAGCUUGGCCGGCGUGGAGUGGUCCCCGGUGAUAAUCAGGGUAUCCGGGUUCAAGGCCAGGAUGCGCGGCAGAAGCUGAUCGACCUCUUCGAUGAUGUGGACCUUUCCCUCAAAAUUGCCGUCUUCGCCGUAGCUGUCAGUUUUCUUGAUGUGCACAAAAAAGAAAUCAUACUUAUCCCAAUUUUGUUCCAACAUGGUGAUUUCUUCUUCCAUCGAAGCAGCCGGUGGCAUCACGGUCAUGCCGACCACCUUUGAGACGCCGCGGUACAUCGGGUACAUCGCGAUGGCCAGAGCGUUCACGCCCCAAACAUCAUUAAAGCGUGGCCAUUUUGGCAUUGCGGCAAAACCCCGCAGCACAAAGGAAUUGGCGGGAGGGC
rnacentral:rRNA from 1 species